rnacentral:rRNA from 1 species
AUGGCGUCGACGAUCCGCCCGGGCAUGGAUGCGGCGGAGGCCAAGAGAAGCCCGGGCGAGGAGGGCGAGGGCUCCCGCACGGUGGCCCCGAAGAAGCUGACCGGGUGCCACGGCGUCCGCGUGGUGGUCGGCCCGCCGACGAGCCUACCGGCUGCGGUCGCCUGCGAGAAGACCGAGGACUGGGUCGCCGUCGUCAGCCGGAGGCGCGCGCCUCGCCCUACCUGCCCACCACCGUCGCGCCCCUCCCGCGCGGACGCCGCGGUCAGGACCAAGGCGGCGCCGCCGACGCUGGUGAAGGCCUCCUACGGCGACGAAAAUCUCUUCAACAUCCUCCGCAGUGGAGAGUGCGCCCGGGCGUGGGCGCCGUCCAGUAAGUCGGUCACCGGCGGGAAGAAUCCUAUCUUCAAGGCUUCCUUCGCUGAUGUGGUGAAGAACAAUGUCCACGGCGCGCGCAAGAUGCCGAUCACCGGUCGUGCGGGUGCGGCGGACGUGAAGACCCGCUCCACGGCGACGCCCCACGGCGAGGAGGACGCGCUCGAGAGGCCCAUCUCAGCGGCCGUGAACAUGGCCGUCAAGAAGCAGCUCCCCUUCUCUGCCAAUAUCAGGACGGUGGGGGCGCAGGCGCGGGGGCGCUCCAAGAGCCCCGUCACCGGCGCGAAGGAGACGGUGCGCAAGGCGUCCUUCGCGGACGUGGUGAAGAGGAAUAUCCACCUCGCGCACAAGACUCCGAUCACUGGUGACGAAGAUGGUGGUGCGGUGGGCGUAAUGAAUACCCACUCCACGACGAAGGCCUACGGCGAGAAGGACCUGAUCAGCGCCGGGGACGCCGCAUUCAAGGGGCAGGAGUUCGCGUCCGAGAAGGACCUGGUCACCGCCGGGGACGCCGCGUUCAAGGGGCACGAGUUCGCGUCCGCGGCCGACGACGCGGUCACCACCGGGGACGCGCCGCGGUCCAGGAGCAGGAGUUCGCGUCCGCGGCCGACGACGCGGUCACCACCGGGGACGCCGCGGUCCAGGAGCAGGAGUUCGCGUCCGCGGCCGACGACGCGGUCACCACCGGGGACGCCGCGGUCCAGGAGCAGGAGUUCGCGUCCGCGGCCGACGAAGCGCCCAAGAAGGAGCCCGUCUCAACGGGCGAGGAUGCAGCGCUCCAGGUGCCCGUCUCAGGGGUCGAGAACGCGGCAGUUGAGGGGCAAGGCCUCGUCUCCGCAAAGGACUUCCUGCUCAAAGAGCAAACGCCCCUCAGUGGCGAGCAGGCGGCGCUCGACUUGGACAAGGACUCGCCAAGAAUGGUGGACUACGCUGGCGAGCGGCGAGAUGUACCGCCAGGAGGUGAUGAUCCCGCCCGGCAGCUGCCUGGCGAUGGGGGUGGCAGUCCAGCCGCGCAGCAGCCAGGGCCUGGCCAUGCGGGCGGCGAUCCCAUGGGGCAGCAGCCAGGGCAUGGCGGUGGCGAUGGCGGCGGCGGCGGCGGCGGCGGCGGCGGGUUUGGUUUCCGUCCACGUCUGUAUCCUCUUCCAUUUACGAAGUGCGGCAUGGUGUGGCCAGGCGAUAACCGGUGCCAGGACUUCGCCACGCACUACUGCAGACUGUGCCUGCAAAUACGGUGUGGCAACUGCGUCUGCCCGUGUGGCCCGGGAGGCGACAUGGCCAAUUUCCCGCUGCCACAAAUCACAGGGGAUUUCACCCAGUUUCAGCUGCCAGUUCCGAUUGUGCUCCGCGAUCAUCCGUGGGUUUUCUCGGGUGCCCGCCGGCCAAGGUACAAUCAGGUUGUCUACUACUUCGCUCUCUUACAGCAUCUUGUCGAUGGCAGUGUGCACUUCCCUGUACAUGUCUACCGUAUGA